CCUGCAGGAGGAAGUGUCACGGCAGCCAGGCCCAGCCCGCCCUGCACCCAGCAGCGCCCCCCACAGCACACCCAGGGCCCCCUCCUGAGACCCCCACCACAGCCUAGGGGAUCCUCAACAUUCCUGCAGGACUUAGCCCUCCGCGGGACCAGCACAUCCACUUUACAGCUGACACAAAUUCAGAGAUGACACUUUUUGGCCAUCUUAUUGGUCAUGUGACCUUGGGCAGAAGGAAAAUGCUAAUCCAUGACCAGUAUUUUCUAGAGCACCAGAUCUUUAGUCCGCCCGCAGGGACCAAUGCUGGAAGUCCAGUCCGCGAGGGCCAAUUGUUACUAUGUGGUCUGUAGUAAGGGUACCUUCCCGGGGUCAGAUAAAGCAUGAACUAGACAUGUCUCUCCCCUUCUGUGCCCGCUACAUCCCACUCAGGCUGGACCCACUGGGCAUUCUGGAGCUUUUACUCUGUGCCCGGCCCUUCGGUAAGUACUUUCAGUGCAUUCUCAUUUAUUCCUUAACUUCACUUUACAGAUAAAGAAUCUGAGGCAUUAAGUAACUUGCCUCAGUGCCACCGCUGAUAGGAGCUGCCAGGAUUCAAACCCAGCUGUGCGGCUCCACCAUCUUAACCAGGACGCAGCCCUGCCCACGGCAAACCACCUGAGGCCGUUUGACUGGUGAUGCCAGGCAUCACUCGGAGGACUGGCCGAGUUUUGUCUCUUUUUCUAAAAGGGCGCCCUGGACUUCUUCUAGACUGUAACAAUAAACAGCCCUUUUUGAUAUUCCAAAGAAACAUGAUUACAACAGUACUGGAAGACAUGUGGAGAUGUGCCCCCACGCCCCACCCCCCCAGCCCAGGGUGCUGAUUUGAAAGUAAUGCUAAUCGCUGCCCCCCUCUCCCCCAAGAGCACAGGAAGAUCUGCAGAAGGUCUCAAAUGGACAUUCCUUCUAAAAUAGCUACAGAUUUACAGCCAUACAGCUGGAUUCUCAUAGAUCCUGCACUGGGUGCAGACUCCUGUCCUGGCCCUACACCUACCCGGCUGGAAGUAGUCCCUGGACGGCUCCCAUGUGAUGAGACUGUUGAACAAGCUGCUCUACAUCCGUCCUCUAUGAUUCUAUGAAGCAAACAACUCAAUGACCGGGUAACAGAUCUUUCACAGGUGGCUGGUCUUUGUUAUCCGAUUAUUGAAAAGAAUUUUUGGCAUAUUAACUUGGAUGGAGCUCAAAUGACUAAAUGCGAGUACUCGAACAAAACUUCCAUUGCCAUUACUUACUAUGUGAUUAAGAUUCCUCAGCAUUUAUAUCAAUAAAAACAGAAAAUGGAAUAGAA